rnacentral:RNase_P_RNA from 1 species
CCAGGGGGCCGGGCAGCCGCGUUCCUUCGACAGGCUCAGGAUGAGCGGGUCGGAGGUGCGAGGAAAGUCCGGGCUCCACGAAACAAGGGUGGCGGGUAACGCCCGCCGGGUGAGGCUUUCGGGCCGAAGCUCAGGGAAAGUGCCACAGAGAGUAUACCGCCGAUGGCCCCUAAAGGGCACAGGCAAGGGUGAAAGGGUGCGGCAAGAGCGCACCGGGGGACUGGUGACAGGACCCGCAUGGCAAACCCCACCCGGAGCAAGACCAAAUAGGGGUCUCGCGCUGAAAAGCAGGAGUGUUUCGCUCCGAGAGACCCGGGUUGGUUGCUAGAGCGCAGGGAGCAAUCCCUCGCCCAGAUGAAUGGCUGCCGCCGCCGAUAGGUCCUUUUCGAAGGAUACCGUGGGUGGACACAGAACCCGGCUUACAGGCCCCCUGGCACC